rnacentral:rRNA from 1 species
CUAAGUGGCGGACGGGUGAGUAAUGUAUAGUUAAUCUGCCCUUUAGAGGGAUAACAGUUGGAAACGACUGCUAAUACCCCAUACUCCUUUUACAUUAAUUGUAAUUGGGAAACGUUUUUUCGCUAAAGGAUGAGACUAUAUGGUAUCAGGUAGUUGGUGGGGUAAAAGCCCACCAAGCCAAUGACGCCUAGCUGGCCUGAGAGGAUGAUCAGCCACACUGGAACUGAGACGCGGUCCAG